rnacentral:lncRNA from 1 species
GAAGAUUAUGUGAUUGUGUGAACACCAUGAUGAGUAAUAUGAAUCAAAGCAUGUGCACAUCUUGACUAAAUUCUAUUGAUGAGCUGAUUUGAGUGAUUACUUAUCUUGAAAGAAAAAGUUUUGGAAAGAGUGGAACCAUUGUGAUGAUUUGUGGAAGACUAAGUUUCAUCUUGUUUGCUUGAGGACUAACAAAGUUCUAAGUUUGGGGUUG